rnacentral:lncRNA from 1 species
UUCCAUCAUGUUGAUUAAAACAAAAAUCAAUAAUGAACAGAAAUAUGUCAAGAUCAGUGAACCAAGUCUGGAUGAAUUCUUGAAUUCCGCUUUCGUGAAGUUCUCCAUCCCACCAGUCAGUGAAGGCAUCAGAGUUUAUGAUGAAACAGGAACUGAGGUGGAUGCAGAUGUCUUUGCAGAAGUGGCACAGCUGCCCAAUGCUGGUGUAUUUACUAUUCAGUUUGAGAAUGGUUCACAGGGGAACACUUCAUCUGCCAGUCCACCAGUCCAAACCAAUUCAGCAUUGACCCGUUCAUCAUCAACCAGCUCUGAUGAGACAAUCAUCCUGGAUGAGGACUGCGGUCCUUCCAGAAAACGGCAGAAGGCAAAUCAAGAUGCCAAACAAGUGGUUGAAUCAGCAUUGACCAAGAAACCAGGUGGAGACCGUAUUACUAAGGAAUACAACCGGACAAAAGGCCUGAGUGAUUCCUCGCGGCGACAGAUGGUUAACAUCCUCGCAGCAGAUAUGACUGAAACUUAUGGGACAUCACCACCACGGGACGUGAGAGAGAUGUAUGCUCGAGGCAUAGUUGAGAUGUUCCCUUACCUGAUGGAUCCAUAUUCAAAAAAUGGAUAUGGAAGUCUUCACUUGUUCUAG